UUUAAUUUACAAUAACAAGUGGGCCCUCGAAUAACCAAAAGUAAGAAAGAUUGUGAACCUACAGUUUGGAGGAUGCAAAUCCAAUGGUGGUCCUCGAUAAAAUUAGCUGUCUAUAGACUAUCUUGAGCCUGAAAUGGGUGGAAAGAAGGGUGGUGAGAUUAUAUAAUCCCAGUGAGUAAACAAAUACCAUCUAAAAUAUAUAAAUCCGAGUAAAUGGAGACAGAUAAAAUAGUUUAACAUACUGCAAUUCAUCACUUUUCAACUUGUUUCAACAAAAUAAAAUCAAUUCAUAUAAAUCGAGUAAUCAACAUGGCUUAUGAAUUUCUUAAAACUUUGGCUCGUGCCAAAAUCAUUCUCAUACCCAGUUAUCAGGGAUGCCUUGAUUGAAGGCUAUCCUAACUGAAUCCGCCAAGGCUGUUAAAAUUUCGUAUACACAUAAACAUAUUUUUAUUUUGGAAACAUAACCGUUCCUUGGCGUUGGCUGAGUUCACCCUCACGUGGUGGUUCGGUGUGAAGUGACUCUAAAGUUAUACCUUGGGAGUUACCCUACUCGCCUCUCCAACUGAGGUAAAAUAUAACAAGAUUCUGUGCCCCUCUAAUAGGUUGGUCCAUAGAAAACCCGCCCACUGCAGCAAGUUAAACCCACCAUACAAUAAAAUUUUGACAGCAUGACAUGACUAAUAUUAUACUACCUAGCCUGUAAAUGUAAAACAGAACAAUUCAUACAAUUCACAAGCCACAAUUCUAGCCAAUCAUGCUAACACAUUAUCAUAAGCCAUCAAUUAGAAUCAUAAAUUACAACACAUCAAGUGGUCUCCAAUUACUCUAUUUUCAAAGCCAUCAUUCAAUUUCAAGACAAUUUGUAAACUCAUUUCAUUUAAACACAUUUUGUUUAUAAAACAUAAAAAUUUACCAUUUAAACUCAUUUUCCAUAAAAUCACAGAAUCAGAUAAAAACCACUUGAGAUAAUUAAGACGAUAGUAAGGUUACUCACUAUUUCGGGAGUCGAAUUCCAAGUACUCCGAUUCUUGAUCCUCGAGUACUAUCUCUUUACUUUUGCCAGAAUGCUCACCACCUAGACAGAAUGCACAAUAAGCCAUUUACUACAUUGUGCUAAAUUGUUAUAAAACCAAUUCAGGAUUUAUUUUAAUGUAUGAAAUGGGAUGCAAAUUGUUCGGAUUAUUGUCUAAACACGGUGUUCUACACAAAUUCAAUUGUGUAUCUAAAUUAAACGGUAUUGACCUAAUUCAAUCUAUCACUCGAUUAAUUGGCCAAUACGUCCAAUUCAACUCCAAAUAAUUUCAUUUUUCUCCCAAUACUUCAAAUCAUCAAACACAAAUUAAAUAACUUGAAAUAUGGUAAAAUCAUCCCCACAUUUUCUCUUAGAAAAUUCGGCCAUGGUGGGUGCAUCAACACUAUAAUUUUUCCUACUUGAUUCUCAUACCAUAAAUCACUAAUUCCUAACCAAGUCACUUGAAAUAAAAUCAAAAUCAUCCUCAAUAUUCUACAUGGAGAAUUCGGCCAAUGAUGGGUGAUGGGAGAACAUAAAAUUUUCUUGCUUGAUUUUCAUGCUACACAUCACUAAUCAACUAAAAACACUAAAAUACAUUGAAAUCUAACUAAAUCAAGCAUCAAACCUUUCUCCUAGGGUUUGAUCAGUACACUAUCCUUCAUGAUAUCUUGUGAUUCAACCAUGGAAAAUGCAACAUAAUGCAUGGGAAAGGUAGAUCACAAGUCAAAUUCAAGAAAUUUUACCUUUGAUUGCUUGAUUACUUGAAAUCCACCAAUUUUCUCUUGAAUUUUCACCCUAGGGUUCUUGUUCUUCCUUGUUCUUCCUUUGUUCUUG
rnacentral:lncRNA from 1 species